rnacentral:rRNA from 1 species
CCAAUAGCGUAUAUUAAAGUUGUUGCAGUUAAAAAGCUCGUAGUUGAAUUUCGGGACCAAUAUUUCGGUCAUGCCGUUGGUAUGCACUGUUAUCAUUGAUUUCUCACCUUCUAAAGAACCGUAAUGCCAUUAAUUUGGUGUUACGGGGAAUUAGGACUGUUACCUUGAAAAAAUUAGAGUGUUUAAAGCAGGCUCACGCUUGAAUACAUUAGCAUGGAAUAAUGAAAUAGGACAUCCGAUUCUAUUUUGUUGGUUUCUAGGAUCGAUGUAAUGAUUAAUAGGGAUAGUUGGGGGCAUUAGUAUUCAAUUGUCAGAGGUGAAAUUCUUGGAUUUAUUGAAGACUAACUACUGCGAAAGCAUUUGCCAAGGAUGUUUUCAUUAAUCAAGAACGAAAGUUAGGGGAUCGAAGACGAUCAGAUACCGUCGUAGUCUUAACCAUAAACUAUGCCGACUAGGGAUCGGAUGAUGUUAAUUUUUUAAUGACUCAUUCGGCGCCUUACG